GUGCCAUGUCCACGCCCAGGAUCCCAACCGGUGAAACCCUGGGCUGCAGAAGAGGAGCACAUGAACUUAACCACUGUGCCAUGGGGCUGGCCCCUUGGGCUUUCUUAAAAGCCAGAAAUUGAGAUCUUUAUGUGAAAUCUCCCACAUAGAAAAAUGUCAACUCGUUAAAAAAUUUUUUUUAUGGGACCCACAAAGCACAUUGGUACAACAGGAUCUCUUGACUUCUGCUGAAUAACACAGGGAGCUUCUUCAUGAUGCCCCUGUUGAUAAGAUGGUGAUGUUUUCAGUUGACGAUCAUUACGUGGAUUUCCAGCUGGUCACACCCUGUGAUGUGACGCAUAGUUCUUUUUGCACGAGAGAGAACUUCCCCUCGUGAUCCGUAGGUCCACUAAUGAUCUUCUGUGUUCAGUUCUGUCCUUCCAAACAUUUUAAUUCUGGUAGGUGAUCUGAUGAGGACCUAGCAGGCCUACGACUCAGAAAUGCAGAUCAUACAAAGCUGAGGAUAACAGUUGCUGAGGCAUGAUGAAAUCAGGACUCAAAACCAUCUGCUCAAGUUGGAAAGCUUGAGAGAGACCAGUAAGCUGACAUUUAGUAGGGGAUAGGCAAAGUCUUGUGUUCAGGUCUAAAAUAUGAAUUGCUUAUUCACCCAGUGAGAAGAAAAACCAACUUGGAAUGUAUACAUGUAAAAGGGGAAAAAAAAUAAGAUCUGAGAGAAUUUGACCACAAGAUGAAUAUUGUCAGCAGUUUGAUAAAGGAAAUUUGAACAUCUGCCUACCUGAUUGCCGACAAGAGAGAAAGGAGGUGUAGGAACUGCUGCAACUGGGUGGUGAGUUUCUAGGGAGUUAGAAUGGAAUCCAGAUCAAGGAAAUGGAGACAAGAAAUAAAGAAAGAGAGAUUCUGCCCAGCAAUAGCUUUUGAACCCUGGGUCAAGUUGUGCUUGAAAUGUUACCCAUGGAUUGUUUAGUUACACAAACAUGUCCAUUCACUUUUACUUUUCUUUUCUUAUUUCACUUUGAGUUGAACUAUUUCUCAGUUUCAAAUAGUGGGAUCCUAUGUGAUUUUAUUUACCCAUGUGGUCAUUAAAACGAGGACAUUCUAGGCAGAGAAGCAACAUGCAUGAAACACACGGGCAUAGGGAAGCACGGUGUGCUCAUGAAAUCCGAGUGGUGUUUGUCACUGGGUGUGCAGAGGACACUGGUGGGAGGUGCACCUGGAGAGAGGGUAGAGGCUAGAUUGUGAUGGGUGUUGAGGACCCCAACCUACAUUGUCCCACGUUGGCUGGUCGACACUGAGAUGCUAGAUGCAGCUUUUAACUGGGCAGAGCUCUGAUCUGUUGUGGGAGGCUCCUAUGGAUGUUGUGCAGAAUCCACAGAAUGCUUCUACAUUCAUUUUCUUCUUCUAUCCUGUCAGUGGCACAGUAAAAUUGGUCAGUGUACUUGUUUCGUAAAUACAGAAAUAGGACCAGAGAGAUUUAGCAAUUAAAUUAAUUCAAGAUUACCCAAUGAAGAAUCACAGCUCCGCAGCAUCAAGGGGUCCAUUGGGGGGAGAAAGCGAGCAGUUUUCUUGGAACAAGGACACAGGAGGGGACUAGAAAUGAUGCAGGGACCACAUCACUAUGGGCUUCCUGAGGCAGCCAGCAUUUGGGAGGAGCACUGGAUGCAGCUCCCCGAGAGCAUAGCGGGGACCCUGCGUCCCUGUCGGCGCACCUUGCCGCUCCGCGGAGGUCCGAAGCAGCGUGUGGGCGGGGCCCCAGGAGUUCUCCCAGGAGGGUGUCCCUGUCGCCGCUGUCCGCAGUCCAGCGCCGGAGGGGGGGCGGGGCAGCGGCCGGGGAGCGUGUGGGCGGCGGCGCGCGCGGGGAGCGCGCGCGGCUGCUG
rnacentral:lncRNA from 1 species